rnacentral:rRNA from 1 species
UACGUAGGGUGCGAGCGUUAAUCGGAAUUACUGGGCGUAAAGCGUGCGCAGGCGGCGCGUUAAGACAGGUGUGAAAGCCCCGAGCUUAACUUGGGAAUUGCGCUUGUGACUGGCGUGCUGGAGUGUGGCAGAGGGAGGUGGAAUUCCACGUGUAGCAGUGAAAUGCGUAGAGAUGAGGAGGAACACCGAUGGCGAAGGCAGCCUCCUGGGCCAGCACUGACGCUCAUGCACGAAAGCGUGGGGAGCAAACAGG